CUCAUGGCGGACACUUCAGUUCUACCAAUCUCUCAACAAGUUUCUCCAUCCGACUGACCUUGUUGGUCCUCUUUGUAACGGUGACCUCAUUCAUCUGGUUUAUGGUCAAAAGACACAUGCGAAUCAAAUUAGACUCAUCAGCCACAACAACAACGACA